AUGCAUCAGAAGUCAUGAUCCAACAACAUGCUAGAGCAUAUAUUUUGCACAUGAUCGGGACGCUUCUUUUUCCCGAUUCAAGUAAACAUAAAGUGCAUUUGAGGUGGUUACCACUUCUCGAAGACUUUGACGUGUGUGGGACAUUAUCCUGGGGUAGUGCUGUUUUAGCAUAUCUAUAUCGAGAAAUGUCAAAGGUUGCUUUAAUGCAAAAUAAA